UACACACCGCCCGUCACACCACGAAAGUUGGCUGCAACCAAAGUCGGUGACUCAACCCGCAAGGGAGAUAGCCGCCAAAGUUGUGACCAGUAAUUGGGGUGAAGUCGUAACAAGGUACCC
rnacentral:rRNA from 1 species